UGGCAGAAACAAGUCUUUGAGCGGGUAUAAGGAGCAAUCUAGCACCACAACGCAGACAAACCUCUUGGGUUCAACACAUCAUGGGGGUGAAUGUGGCAGCAACAAGGGAAAUGCACCUUCCCAAGCAUCAAUGGGGUCCAAGAGAACAUGUUUGAAAUGGAAGAGGGAAAAAAAAAAUCCUCUGGGUCUGCGUGUCAAGAAUGGAGAAAAAGAGGGAGGAAAGGUUAAAGCUGGAAGAGUGGAAAAGUUGACUGGGAGGAACAAGCCCGUUCGCUGCUCAGCGCCCUGCCCGUGCAGGUUGCAUGGUUGUGACCUGCUCCCCUGUGCUCCCUGCUGCCGAAGGAGGUCGGGAACCUGCUUUGGUCUCUGUUCUUCUGUGGCCACGUUCCCGACCCUUUGCCAAAGUGGGAACGCCUCUGAGUCGAGGCUGUGGGACUGCGCUCAUCCUGCCAAGCGCCCAGCUGGCUUGUCCUGUGGCAAGAGGGAAGUCUCCAUCGAGCCAAAGUGGCAUCUGUCAGGAUUCACGCUCUGGAAAAGAAGAUCAGGGUGA
rnacentral:lncRNA from 1 species